CGUCAAGUCCUCAUGGCCCUUACGUUCCGGGCUACACACGUGCUACAAUGGUCGGUACAAAGGGUUGCCAACCUGUGAGGGGGAGCUAAUCCCCGAAAACCGAUCCCAGUUCGGAUUGCAGUCUGCAACUCGACUGCAUGAAGUUGGAAUCGCUAGUAAUCGCGGAUCAGCAUGCCGCGGUGAAUACGUUCCCGGGCCUU
rnacentral:rRNA from 1 species